rnacentral:rRNA from 1 species
AACGAACGCUGGCGGCAUGCCUAACACAUGCCAGUCGAACGAGACCUUCGGGUCUAGUGGCGCACGGGUGCGUAACGCGUGGGAACCUGCCCUUAGGUUCGGAAUAACUCCCCGAAAGGGGUGCUAAUACCGGAUAAUGUCUUCGGACCAAAGAUUUAUCGCCUUUGGAUGGGCCCGCGUUGGAUUAGCUAGUUGGUAGGGUAAAAGCCUACCAAGGCGACGAUCCAUAGCUGGUCUGAGAGGAUGAUCAGCCACACUGGGACUUAGACACGGCCCAGACUCCUACGGGAGGCAGCAGUGGGGAAUAUUGGACAAUGGGCGAAAGCCUGAUCCAGCAAUGCCGCGUGAGUGAUGAAGGCCUUAGGGUUGUAAAGCUCUUUUACCCGGGAUGAUAAUGACAGUACCGGGAGAAUAAGCUCCGGCUAACUCCGUG